rnacentral:tRNA from 1 species
CUAAAGCAUCUCGCUUACACCGAGAAGAUACCUGUGAAAACCAGAUUAUUUCGA